rnacentral:rRNA from 1 species
GAUUAGAGUUUGAUCCUGGCUCAGAUUGAACGCUGGCGGCAUGCCUUACACAUGCAAGUCGAACGGCAGCACGGGGGCAACCCUGGUGGCGAGUGGCGAACGGGUGAGUAAUGCAUCGGAAUGUACCCAGUAGUGGGGGAUAACUAGUCGAAAGACUGGCUAAUACCGCAUACGCACUAUGGUGGAAAGCGGGGGAUCGCAAGACCUCGCGCUAUUGGAGCAGCCGAUGUCCGAUUAGGUAGUUGGUGGGGUAAAGGCCUACCAAGCCUGCGAUCGGUAACUGGUCUGAGAGGACGACCAGUCACACUGGGACUGAGACACGGCCCAGACUCCUACGGGAGGCAGCAGUGGGGAAUUUUGGACAAUGGGCGCAAGCCUGAUCCAGCAAUGCCGCGUGUGUGAAGAAGGCCUUCGGGUUGUAAAGCACUUUUGUCAGGAACGAAACAGUGUCCGCUAAUACCGGGCGCGAAUGACGGUACCUAAGAAUAGC